rnacentral:rRNA from 1 species
UACGAAGGGGGCUAGCGUUGUUCGGAUUUACUGGGCGUAAAGCGCACGUAGGCGGAUUGUUAAGUCGGGGGUGAAAUCCUGGAGCUCAACUCCAGAAUUGCCUUCGAUACUGCUUUCUAGAGGCUGGAAGAGGUUAGUGGAAUUCCCAGUGUAGAGGUGAAAUUCGUAGAUAUUGGGAGGAACACCCGUGGCGAAAGCGGCUCUCUGGACCACUACUGACGCUGAGGCGCGAAAAGCUAGGGGAGCAAACAGGG